rnacentral:rRNA from 1 species
GCAUGAAGCAGGGGCCCCCGCAUGGGGAUAUUUGCUAAAGAUUCAUCGCUGAUAGAUAGGCAUGCGUUCCAUUAGGCAGUUGGCGGGGUAACGGCCCACCAAACCGACGAUGGAUAGGGGUUCUGAGAGGAAGGUCCCCCACAUUGGUACUGAGACACGGACCAAACUCCUACGGGAGGCAGCAGUGAGGAAUAUUGGUCAAUGGCCGAGAGGCUGAACCAGCCAAGUCGCGUGAGGGAUGAAGGUUCUAUGGAUCGUAAACCUCUUUUAUAAGGGAAUAAAGUGCGGGACGUGUCCCGUUUUGUAUGUACCUUAUGAAUAAGGAUCGGCUAACUCCGUGCCAGCAGCCGCGGUAAUACGGAGGAUCCGAGCGUUAUCCGGAUUUAUUGGGUUUAAAGGGUGCGUAGGCGGCCUUUUAAGUCAGCGGUGAAAGUCUGUGGCUCAACCAUAGAAUUGCCGUUGAAACUGGGGGGCUUGAGUAUGUUUGAGGCAGGCGGAAUGCGUGGUGUAGCGGUGAAAUGCAUAGAUAUCACGCAGAACCCCGAUUGCGAAGGCAGCCUGCCAAGCCAUGACUGACGCUGAUGCACGAAAGCGUGGGGAUCAAACAGGAUUAGAUACCCUGGUAGUCCACGCAGUAAACGAUGAUCACUAGCUGUUUGCGAAUACACUGUAAGCGGCACAGCGAAAGCGUAAGGUGAUCCACCUGGGGAGUACGCCGGCAACGGUGAAACUCAAAGGAAUUGACGGGGGCCCGCACAAGCGGAGGAACAUGUGGUUUAAUUCGAUGAUACGCGAGGAACCUUACCCGGGUUUGAACGCAUUCGGACCGAGGUGGAAACACCUUUUCUAGCAAUAGCCGUUUGCGAGGUGCUGCAUGGUUGUCGUCAGCUCGUGCCGUGAGGUGUCGGCUUAAGUGCCAUAACGAGCGCAACCCUUGCCACUAGUUACUAACAGGUAAAGCUAAGGACUCUGGUGGGACUGCCAGCGUAAGCUGCGAGGAAGGCGGGGAUGACGUCAAAUCAGCACGGCCCUUACAUCCGGGGCGACACACGUGUUACAAUGGCGUGGACAAAGGGAGGCCACCUGGUGACAGGGAGCGAAUCCCCAAACCACGUCUCAGUUCGGAUCGGAGUCUGCAACCCGACUCCGUGAAGCUGGAUUCGCUAGUAAUCGCGCAUCAGCCAUGGCGCGGUGAAUACGUUCCCGGGCCUUGCACA